UUUUAUGAUUACUACUUGUAAGUCAGAGAGGGGUUUCAAAGCGCUAACAUUUAUUAUUUAUUUACAUUUGUAUUUUUUCAUUGUAAUUUUCCCUUAACCGGAAACACCCCCCCCCCCCCCCUCUCUCUACCACGCCCCCUACCUAUCGGACCACCGAGAUGCGGGCAGGAGGACGACCACAGCUCUUAUCGAUAAACACUUUUUUUUUUUACGUUCAUUUAAUACUUACUUUCAUUUCGCAAUAGCUUAAUACCUGCUAGCGCCUUAGGAGAUUUCGGCUUGUUUUGGAAACCUUCGGCACACAUUUCAAGAAACAAGACACAAAGGUUGUUUUUGCUCAUCUGGAGAAAUGGUGCCAGCUGUUCUGAAGCUUUACUUCUUCGGAAGCGCCGUGGCCAUCUUCGCCUUCAUCUUCAGCCUGGCCGACUCGGUCGGCGGUCUCAUGUACGUCCACGACCACCGCUGGAUGCUGGAGAUGGAAAGAGGUCCCGCGCCGAGGCAUCAUGGGGGGGGGUCAUCUUAAAAAUGUAACGGAAGAGUACGUCUGAAAAUUGCUGAGCCAAAGACAGAAUUGUACUGUGCAGUGGUUGAUACAUCACAGCAUAUCAACGAAAGAGCCAUGUGUCAUGCAACCAUGCCUCUAGGGGCUGCAAGCUGCAUGGAGGAAUGACUUUCGAAUCCAUAUUUUAGCAUCAUGGUCUCAUGAUGAAAAACAAAUCAUGCUAACUGGAAAGGCUGGCCUCCCUGCCAAUUGUUUGUCGGUUUGUGUAUUUGUAUUUCAAAUGCGUGCCUGUGAUGACGAAUGUCGGCGAGCAUCUCCAUUGUCACGUAAUAAAAUGAACGGUAAAUGUGUGAAGCCUAAAAAAAAAAAAAAAAAGCCAUCGCAAACGUAACAAAACUGACGCUUUCAUUCUCGACCUUGUGUUGUUUGACUUCUUGUUACUGUGUAGAAUAAACAUUCUUUGAAUAAAACCUUGAGUUCA